AUUGAACGCUGGCGGCAUGCCUUACACAUGCAAGUCGAACGGUAACGCGGGGCAACCUGGCGACGAGUGGCGAACGGGUGAGUAAUGCAUCGGAACGUGCCCAGUAGUGGGGGAUAGCCCGGCGAAAGCCGGAUUAAUACCACAUACGACCUACGGGUGAAAGCGGGGGACCGUAAGGCCUCGCGCUAUUGGAGCGGCCGAUGUCAGAUUAGGUUGUUGGUGGGGUAAAAGCCUACCAAGCCGACGAUCUGUAGCUGGUCUGAGAGGACGACCAGCCACACGGGGACUGAGACACGGCCCAGACUCCUACGGGAGGCAGCAGUGGGGAAUUUUGGACAAUGGGGGCAACCCUGAUCCAGCCAUGCCGCGUGCGGGAAGAAGGCCUUCGGGUUGUAAACCGCUUUUGUCAGGGAAGAAACGCUCUGGGCUAAUACCCCGGGGUAAUGACGGUACCUGAAGAAUAAGCACCGGCUAACUACGUGCCAGCAGCCGCGGUAACAC
rnacentral:rRNA from 1 species